rnacentral:rRNA from 1 species
UGGGGAAUAUUGGACAAUGGGGGCAACCCUGAUCCAGCAAUGCCGCGUGUGUGAAGAAGGCCUUCGGGUUGUAAAGCACUUUCGUUGGGGAGGAAAAAGGUUGGGCUAACAUCCCGGCCCUUGACUGUACCCAAAGAAGAAGCACCGGCUAACUCUGUGCCAGCAGCCGCGGUAAUACAGAGGGUGCAAGCGUUAAUCGGAAUUACUGGGCGUAAAGCGUGCGUAGGUGGUUUAUUAAGUCAGGUGUGAAAUCCCCGGGCUCAACCUGGGAACUGCGCUUGAUACUGGUAAACUAGAGUUUAGUAGAGGGAAGUGGAAUUCCGCAUGUAGCGGUGAAAUGCGUAGAUAUGCGGAGGAACACCAGUGGCGAAGGCGGCUUCCUGGACUAAAACUGACACUGAGGCACGAAAGCGUGGGUAGCAAACAGGAUUAGAUACCCUGGUAGUCCACGCCCUAAACGAUGGGUACUAGACGUCGGGAGGUUUAUCCUCCUGGUGUCGCAGCUAACGCAUUAAGUACCCCGCCUGGGGAGUACGGUCGCAAGAUUA